GCCCUGGUUCCCUCCCUCCUGCUCUGGGUUCAGAUGCUGCGACAUCCCAGAAGCCCAGACCCUCAACCCCUCUGGAUGCUACAUGGGGACGCUGGAUGGCUAAGCCCCUGUUCCAAGGAUUUUGGGGUGCUGAGAUUCUCCCCUAGAGACCUGAACUUCACCAGCCACAGAUUCAAAUGACUUAAUGUUAAGAAGUCUCAGAAUGUCCAGCCCGUCAGCAGUUCUAAUUCUGAGACAUGAGCCUUGGGAUGUGGCAGCAUCAGUGGGACAAGAUGGACACUGGGCCACCCUCCCAGACAUGAGACACACGGCACUGUGGAGAGACUUCUCCCCCAUGGCUGCCUGGGCUCCCCCAUCUCGCCUGAGGCUGCUCUUCUGUCAGACUUCCUCUUUGUACCACAGUGGCUCUGGGGCCAGGCCUGCCUGCCCACUGGCCAUCGCCACCUUCCCCAGCUGCCUCCUACCAGCAGUUUCUCUGAUGAUCUGUCAACAGGUUCAGUCAAUCUGGGGCUUCCAGUGCCUGCAUUCCAGUCCCCAGAGCCUGGUGGUCCCGAAACGGGAAGUACGUACUGGGGCCUAGUGGCCACUGUGAGCAAAUGGUGUCUUGGGCAAUCUGAGGCCAGGCCAGAUGUUGCACCACCCACUGAGAUGGUGGUGAGGGAGGUGGGUGGGGCCUUCUGGGAAGGUAAGUGGGGCCCCCCACCCUCCCCAUCCUCUACUCCCACUGCUCAGCCUGGGCCAUUGCAAGGGUGCCACACAAUGUCUUGUCCACUCUGGGCCACUUCUGAGUGUGAAGCGGGAUGCUAUUAAAAACUACGUGGGGAAACA